UACGGGGGGGGCAAGCGUUGUUCGGAAUUACUGGGCGUAAAGGGCGCGUAGGCGGUGCUCUAAGUCGGAUGUGAAAACUCUGGGCUCAACCCAGAGCCUGCAUCCGAAACUGGAGUUCUAGAGUUCUGGAGGGGGUAGCGGAAUUCCUGGUGUAGCGGCGAAAUGCGUAGAUAUCAGGAGGAACACCGGUGGCGAAGGCGGCUACCUGGACAGAAACUGACGCUGAGGCGCGAAAGCUAGGGGAGCAAACAGG
rnacentral:rRNA from 1 species